CGGAUCCGCAUGGAUAUGUUGUUAAAGGUUUAUCGCCUUGGGAUAGGCUUGCGUCUGAUUAGCUAGUUGGUGUGGUAACGGCACACCAAGGCUACGAUCAGUAACUGGUCUGAGAGGAUGAUCAGUCACACUGGAACUGAGACACGGUCCAGACUCCUACGGGAGGCAGCAGUGAGGAAUAUUGGGCAAUGCUCGAAAGAGUGACCCAGCAACGCCGCGUGGAGGAUGAAGGUAUUCUAUAUCGUAAACUCCUGUGAGAGCAGACGAAAGACAGAUUAUUAAUCUGGAUGACUGUAUGCUCAGAGGAAGCCCCGGCUAACUACGUG
rnacentral:rRNA from 1 species